UAACACAUGCAAGUCGAACGAACCUUCGGGUUAGUGGCGGACGGGUGAGUAACGCGUGGGAAUCUGCCCUCAGGAGGGGGAUAACGGCCGGAAACGGCCGCUAAUACCCCAUAUGCCGAGAGGUGAAAUGAAUUUCGCCUGAGGAUGAGCCCGCGUCUGAUUAGCUAGUUGGUGAGGUAAGAGCUCACCAAGGCAUCGAUCAGUAGCUGGUCUGAGAGGAUGAUCAGCCACACUGGGACUGAGACACGGCCCAGACUCCUACGGGAGGCAGCAGUGGGGAAUUUUCCGCAAUGGGCGAAAGCCUGACGGAGCAACGCCGCGUGAGGGAUGAAGGCCUCUGGGCUGUAAACCUCUUUUAUCAAGGAAGAAGAUCUGACGGUACUUGAUGAAUAAGCCACGGCUAAUUCCGUGCCAGCAGCCGCGGUAAUACGGGAGUGGCAAGCGUUAUCCGGAAUUAUUGGGCGUAAAGCGUCCUCAGGCGGCCCUACAAGUCUGCUGUUAAAAAGUGGAGCUUAACUCCAUCAUGGCAGUGGAAACUGUUGGGCUCGAGUGUGGUAGGGGCAGAGGGAAUUCCCGGUGUAGCGGUGAAAUGCGUAGAUAUCGGGAAGAACACCAGUGGCGAAGGCGCUCUGCUGGGCCAUCACUGACGCUCAUGGACGAAAGCCAGGGGAGCGAAAGGGAUUAGAUACCCCUGUAGUCCUGGCCGUAAACGAUGAACACUAGGUGUCGGGGGAAUCGACCCCUCCGGUGUCGUAGCCAACGCGUUAAGUGUUCCGCCUGGGGAGUACGCACGCAAGUGUGAAACUCAAAGGAAUUGACGGGGGCCCGCACAAGCGGUGGAGUGUGGUUUAAUUCGAUGCAACGCGAAGAACCUUACCAGGAUUUGACAUCCUGCGAAUCUCUUGGAAACUUGAGAGUGCCUUCGGGAGCGCAGUGACAGGUGGUGCAUGGCUGUCGUCAGCUCGUGUCGUGAGAUGUUGGGUUAAGUCCCGCAACGAGCGCAACCCACGUCUUUAGUUGCCAGCAUUUAGUUGGGCACUCUAGAGAGACCGCCGGUGAUAAACCGGAGGAAGGUGUGGAUGACGUCAAGUCAUCAUGCCCCUUACAUCCUGGGCUACACACGUACUACAAUGCUACGGACAAAGGGCAGCAAGUUCGCGAGGACAAGCAAAUCCCAUAAACCGUAGCUCAGUUCAGAUCGUAGGCUGCAACUCGCCUACGUGAAGGAGAAAUCGCUAGUAAUCGCAGGUCAGCAUACUGCGGUGAAUACGUUCCCGGGCCUUGUACACACCGCCCGUCACACCAUGGAAGUUGGCCAUGCCCGAAGCCGUUACUCCAACCCUUGUGGAGGAGGACGUCGAAGGUGGGGCUGAUGACUGGGGUG
rnacentral:rRNA from 1 species